AUUGAACGCUGGCGGCAGGCUUAACACAUGCAAGUCGAGCGGAGAUGAGGUGCUUGCACCUUAUCUUAGCGGCGGACGGGUGAGUAAUGCUUAGGAAUCUGCCUAUUAGUGGGGGACAACAUUCCGAAAGGAAUGCUAAUACCGCAUACGUCCUACGGGAGAAAGCAGGGGAUCUUCGGACCUUGCGCUAAUAGAUGAGCCUAAGUCGGAUUAGCUAGUUGGUGGGGUAAAGGCCUACCAAGGCGACGAUCUGUAGCGGGUCUGAGAGGAUGAUCCGCCACACUGGGACUGAGACACGGCCCAGAAUCCUACGGGAGGCAGCAGUGGGGAAUAUUGGACAAUGGGGGGAACCCCGAUCCAGCCAUGCCGCGUGUGUGAAGAAGGCCUUAUGGUUGUAAAGCACUUUAAGCGAGGAGGAGGCUACUGAGACUAAUACUCUUGGAUAGUGGACGUUACUCGCAGAAUAAGCACCGGCUAACUCUGUGCCAGCCGCCGCCGUAAAAC
rnacentral:rRNA from 1 species